CAAUGUUUUAUGUUCCUUGACUUGAGGGUAUUGAGUGGCAGAAUUUGGUUCCGAAUUAAGCUUGCCAAAAUUCUAUAUGCAAUUACAGUAAUUAACUUACAUGAUAGAACCUAAAAUUUUAGUGUUUCCUAGAUCUGGUGCCUUUGUAGAUGUUUAAGUUCAUAGAUGUUUACCCAUUUAGGCAAUCAAAAGAAAACACAAACUUUUCUUAUAUGUUUAAGCUAACUAGGACUUUGUGGUUUUAAAAAAUUGGCUGGAAAAAAAAAUUGCCCUUCAUUUUGCUUGCUAGCUACUGUUUUCCUUCUUCCAUCUCCUUCUGUUCUUCUUUGUGGCGGGUGUUUGUUAUAGCCCUGCAGUCUAUUGUUUGCUACGUCCCUACCAUUCUCUUCUUCUUCCUUCUUAUACUCCUUGCUUGGUGCUGACCAUGUGGCCCUAUUGCUAGCUGGUUGGUGAAACAGAAAAAAUUCUAUGAACCCUCUCCAUUUUUUUCUUCUAAAUUUUGAUCUUUCGACUCUUUUUAAGUGUGGAAAAAGGUUUUAUGAUGUCAUCCAUUGUGAAAAAAAGAGUGUAUAUAUGAUAUAUGCAUAAAUUAAUUUAUGUACAUCAUCAAAAUAAUUCAGACCAACACUUCAAGUGCUUUACCCCCCAGGCGCCAGGGCACUCACCAAGGCUACAAAGGGUGUCCACUGCCUGGCGUUGCCUAGGCAAUUUGACAACCUUAGUUUGAUCAAAAUUGAAGAUCAAUAUCCAUACUCAGUCAGCCUAUAUAUGUUAGGGAUGCAUCUCACAAUACAGAAAUUGUAUAUUUAUGAAUAAAUUAAAUACAUUUGCCUGCUCUAAUUAUCUUUCUUGCUGGUAUAUCUCAAAGUUGCCAUUCUUCCUUCUCCAGCUUUAUAUCUUUUAAAAAAAAAAAUUGUAGCCCAUCAUUUGCUGCUCUACCCUAUUAAUGUACUGCAUCACCCUGGUUGACAUAUCAUAGCUAGCACCCUUUUAUAACUCCAACUGUCAAUAUCAAUCACCAAUGAUCUCUUGCUAAAACUAUGAAUGUGUAAUGCAAUAUUACAAAAGUGUUUUGAGAACAAAAUCUUGAAAGUUAUGUAACACUCAAAGACCACAGUACCAAUAAAAUGGAAUUAUAAGAGACCACCAUUCUUAUAGUCAGAGUCAGCACCUCCUAGGAACAAAACAUAUGCAAAGAAAAGCCCAACAAUCGAAUUUACAAAUACAAUGAGACAACCAACCUCUUCAUACUUAUAAUCCCUGUCAGUUCCUUCCCAGGGGCAUCGGGCACCUCCUAGAACGAUGCCCUCCCCUUCCACAUCCUCUCCAAUUUGCUCACCUGAACAUCAGUGAAAAUUGUCGCUUGUUAUGUAAAUGGUACUAAUUUAGGAUAUUUAAUAGAUAUGCUACUAUGAUGGAACAUGCCAAGUAAAACUCUCCUGGUUAUCUGGGUCCAAAAAAUUAACUCAUUCUUCUACAAAGAGCACCAUACACAUGAAUUCAAGAGUCCUUACCACUAAGGUCUUCCCCAAAAUCCCCAUUUUCAUCUGUCUCCACCUGAAAUCAAAUGACACAAUAAAGUUCACAUCAUCAUACCAAGGAUGGUGUCUAAGCUCAAAAGCUUCACUCAACAUCAUAUGAUCUGUAUGCAAACUGACCGGUUUCUUCUUCUUCUUCUUCAUGCCAACAAAGCUUAAUUCCCCAGACUCAGCAACUGCAUCAUCAGAAUACAGAGGUAACUUCAUAAUAGUCAUCUUUAAGCAUUAUUGAAAAAAAAAAAAAUCAUGCACACUUAGAAAUACAUUCAUUCUGCCUUCCACACUGCACUUGAAAUUUCUUUAAGCAGUUCAAAUACAAGCACACCUGUUAAAUUUUCCGUUUUCUCAGCAAGUUUAUCCACCUCCUCAGCAGAAUCUUGAAUUACCACCUUCUUCUUCUUCUUCUUCUUUGUAGGAUCGAAGGGGGCAACCUACAAGACAAUUACCCCUAAUUUAUGACACGAUCUUGUGACCAAAAAAGAACAAUAAGAAGAAUAGGGAGGAGAAAGAGGAGGAGGAGGAGGAGACACGAUUAUCCUGGCAAAACCAUUAGAGAUGCAACAACAGAGAAUCAAGAAGUAACAUCCUUAUUCCCAUUGUACAUUAACCCUGAUCUUAAGGUAACCAAGCAUUAUAUGUUCUGCACUCAUAACAGCAAGCCCUAUAUCUGAUACAUGAAGAAUCUUUCUUUAGAAGAAAAAAGGAAUCUGCUGAACAAAAUAGUACAGAAACUUACCUCCGGCACCUCCUCCUUCAUCUCGGCUGGCUUUUCUUCAGUCAUAUUGAUCGUUCCUUCAAAUCCUCACAAAAGAACAGACCUAACCCUAGAAACACGAAAAAUGAAAAGAAUCAAUACCAUUUCUUUUUGACAAGUUUAAUCGGAAAAAAGGAAUCAUCGAACCCUAUUCAGGAUUAAGGACAGAAACAAACAAACGAACGGCAGAAUAAUCAAAAACAUCGAGCUGUCAGAUGUAUCAGAUCGAAGAAAACCCUAAAUCUCGAACAAAUACGAUCAAAACCUUGCUCAUUUCAAUGAACAAAAACAGAAGAAAAAAAAAAAACAAAUUAUUGAAGCAUGUCGAAAAUAUAGAUAAUAAAUCAGAAAAACCUCGAUCCCUCUAGCAAUCACGAAUCCACCGAUUCUUGGAAGAAGAAAGAAGAAUCCGGAGUUUUCUCGCGAGAUAUUCCAGACACGAGCUUAGGCAAGAGGCGCCGCAUUUUGUAGGGUCUAGGCAAAGGUGAUCGCUGCGAGAGCACGUUGGAUACGGUUCGGUUGCAUCGCCGGUUCAGUAACCCGGUAGGGUUUAAAUUGGGUUGCGUCCGGUCCAGCUUGAGCAGGACCAGGACACGGUGUAAUUUUCGUUGUCUCCUGGAUUGAGCCAAUUUGCUUGGUGGAUGUAUUAGUUCCUAUCGAACAUGUCCAAUUUAAAUACGAAGAGCUACGUUUUGUCGUCUAGAUUUUCUUUGACAUCAAUAUGUGCCCCAUCCAAGUUCAAUUGAGAUCUUGGCCUUUCAAAAAAAUUAAAGGUUGGAAUUGAAUAUCCAAUUAACUAUACAUGUGUGCAUCUGUGGACGUAGCAGUUAGGUCUAAAACCUCGACCUAGGCAGUGUUUUGAUUAUAUUGCUUGGUAUGUGUUGUUUUGAUCUUUUGGUACUCGGUUUUGGUUGGAAUAUCUUUUUUCUAAAGAUAAAAACUAUGCUGCUAGACUUAUCUUUUCACUUCCUCUUUAGUCGUUUAGGAUGAUGCACCGAGGUCUCAUUUUGACAAUAAUUUGUGCACUCUUUAAUCUAGAAAAUAUGAGUAUCAUGAUGGCUCCUUCGAAAACUUCCGACGAAAAAAUUUCAUCCUCAUGGAUGGAGGAUUUCUUCAAGAUUUGAGUAUUGUUGGAGCUUUUUUCCAAAACAAAAAUGGAGAGAGCGCCGGAUUCAUUGCUGGUUAGAUUCACAUCCAUCCAAUCCAAUUGCAUCAUGAUCGGUUGUUGGAUGCUUUGCAUUUGGUUAUAUGACCAUAUAUAUAAAGGUCAAAUUAAUUGUUAUUACCUAGUUGUCAAUUGUCACACACUUGUCAGAUUAAAGAAGCGAGAGCAACUUACCAUCUAAAAACAUUCAAACUUUAAUCAAAUGUGACGUAGUUCACUUUGUUCUAGUAUUAUUAGAAAUCUCACAUUUUCCAUCAAUAAGACCUAGAUGAUAAGUGGUAAUCAAAUCAAAAGACAAAAUCAAUUCGCCAAUUAACACCCAUAACACCUAUUUGGAUGCUUCUCAAUCCUCUAUAUCUCCAUAGACGCAAUGCCAUGAUUUGUUUCCAUUUGUUUCAGCAUUAAAUGGCAAACAAACCAAGGGAUGGAGUUAAUUGAACAAAAAUCAUGGGAUUGAAUUUCUCCUACUAAUAGAGUUUGUUAGUUCCAUAACUGAAAUAAUAAAAAAAUAAAAUACAUGCCUAAGAGAGAUCUUACUGUCCACAUCCUCUUUCUUCUUCAUCAGGUAUCUUUAUCUAUUAUCUUUCUUAUUAAGCUAUUUCUCCCCUGCGUAAGGUCUUCCUCUCAAAUCUCUUUUUCUUCUUUCAAAUCCCAUGUACCAUCUCUUCUAUUUAUAAGGUCUUUCUCAAGGUCUUUUUUUAUCUUCUAAAUCUCUCUUCUUUUCUAAAAUCUUUGUAUCUAAAAAUUUAUAAAAAUUAUAUAUUAUUUUAUCUAGAGGUAUGUAUUGAGAUGUUGGAUGAAUAUUUUUCUAAAUAUAUAUUAACUGACUAUAUAUUGUCUACUAGUGGAUACUAAGUUCGGUAAACUAUACAUCAAUUGAUCUAUAUGUAUGCAUUAGAUCUUUGUUGCGUGUAUAUUAAAAAAGUUUACCGUAUGUAUCAAUAACUCGUCUAGUAUGUAUCAUUUGCUCAUAUACUAUGUAUUGAUGAAUAUUAUAUUUUAAAAAUUAUAUAUCAUUUUAUCUAGAUGUGUGUAUUGUGAUAUCGGAUAAAUAUUUUACUAGGUGUGUAUUAUAUAUUGGUAAAUAUUCAGUUCGAUAAACUAUAUAUCAAUUUAACUUUAUGUGUGUAUUGGAUCAGAAAAUUUCUAGAUGUGCAUCGAAAAAAACUUAAAGUAUAUAUUUAAUAUGUAUUAUAUAGUCAUAUAGUAUGUAUUACUAAAAAGUAUUUACUGAAAAUGAGAAAAAAAAAUAUCUUAAUCAUAAAAUUAAUAAGUCUGUUAAUAAAAAAAAUUUUAAUUUUUUAAUUUAUUAUUAAAAUUAAUAUUAAAAAAAUGACAAACUAUAAGCUCAUCUCAUAUGAUAUUUUAUAGUGCCCGCUUCAUAUGAUUUUUGUCCUAUAACUUACUACUAUAAAAUCAUCACAAAAUCCUUUCCACUGGAAAUCAUCUUCUUACCCCCAAGAAAAGAACUCUACGCUCAGAGGUGUCGAUGGAAGCCAAAAAAAAAAAAAAAAGACCCACCAGCAUUCUUACAAAUAGUAUCAAAAUAUAGUUAUAAUUUCUUUCUGCAUUUCUCCAGAUCCAUCCCGGAGGACAUUUUUUUUUCUUUCUAAUUAUUAUUUUAAUCGAUGAUAAUAUCAGCUGAUGUGGUGAUUUCUUACUGUUUCGAUUUACUCACGGCUGUGAUAUCUGCAUUUGGAUGUAAUUUCUCCAUGUUGACCCACGGUUGAUAAAUCGUACGCGAAUUGCUGUACGUCACUCGCCGCGCCUCAAACAGUUGUCCACCGAGCGGAACACUGUUGGCCCACCAACUAAAGCCGUGGCGGUCCCAUCCCCAUGCGUCGACGAGACGAAAUUGCAUGAUCCAACGGUCCUGAUCAUUCGAGCAGCGGAAUCCCACAUGGUGGACCCCACGAUUCCGCCGAUCAACUCCCUGGUGCUAAGCUGGCAAGCUCUGGCCAUUACGAGCUCGGUACUAAUUUAGCUGGAUCUCCGAACCGCGUCAAUUUAGGAUUUAAGACCAGUAAUCCAACAUUAUUUUAAUAAUUUUCUAUGAUUAGUUAUUCAAUUAAACUAAAAAGAAACGAUCUUCCGCUAGUUGAGACCACAUCUUAAGAAAGUUCUCUCUUUUCCGUAUCUUACCAAAUCCCGCGGUUUUAGACCCCCCUAGUCUCUCCUGUCCGUCUUCUAUCGAACUCUCAGCACUCGGAGAUUGUCUCAGGUACUCCUGCUCUCCUUCUUUUUUUUUCUUCUGGAUUUAAGGUUUUUAUAGCAUAUAUCAUUGGAUUUCUGUAAAUUUCAGUUGAUUUAUUGCUUUUUUUUUCGAUUUUUCCGUGGCUAAAUCGUCCAUUUUUCUUUUAUCUUGCUCUUUUUUUUUGGCAGUUACUUCCGGUUGGAUCUUCUUCCACUCUGCUCAAUUUUAGCUGAAUUAGAUUGCUGAUUUCUUGCUAGAAAUCGUAGGUUCCCCCUACAUUCGUUGUCCACGAUCCGAUCUGCUCGAUCUGAGGUGUUUUCUCACGGAUCGAAACCCUGGUUCCCGAAAGAUCCGUUCUUUUCCGGUUCUGUAAACCCACACCCCCCCCUCAGUCCUCUUCUGCGUAUUUCUCAGUAGAAGCCCUCAUCUUUAGCUCACAAAUUUUAGUUUUUUUUUUCCCCCAAAGAUUUUGUUUUUCCUCAUGAAAAGGUAUCAAGCUUUACCUCCCAUCCGUCUCUGUGCUUCCUUCUUCUUCUUCUUGCUGGCCGUCGGCAAAAUCUCGGCGGCCGACAGCACCAACAGCACCUACGUCCCACGGGACAACAUUCUACUCAACUGCGGUGCCUCCGGGCAGGACAAGGACACCGAUGGCCGCAUCUGGACCGGCGACGCCGGCUCCAAGUACGCCCCCUCCAUUAAUGGCGUUGGCCUCACUGCCCCCUCGCAGGACUCGUCGGUCCCGCAAGUCCCGUACUUGACCGCCCGGUUCUUCACCUCCCCCUACACCUACACCUUCCCCC
rnacentral:lncRNA from 1 species